rnacentral:rRNA from 1 species
AUACGGAGGAUCCGAGCGUUAUCCGGAUUUAUUGGGUUUAAAGGGAGCGUAGGCGGACGCUUAAGUCAGUUGUGAAAGUUUGCGGCUCAACCGUAAAAUUGCAGUUGAUACUGGGUGUCUUGAGUACAGUAGAGGCAGGCGGAAUUCGUGGUGUAGCGGUGAAAUGCUUAGAUAUCACGAAGAACUCCGAUUGCGAAGGCAGCCUGCUGGACUGUAACUGACUCUGAUGCUCGAAAGUGUGGGUAUCAAACAGGAUUAGAUACCCUGGUAGUCCACACAGUAAACGAUGAAUACUCGCUGUUUGCGAUAUACAGUAAGCGGCCAAGCGAAAGCGUUAAGUAUUCCACCUGGGGAGUACGCCGGCAACGGUGAAACUCAAAUGAAUUGACGGGG